AUAUGGUCAAGUGAAGAAGCGCAUACGGUGGAUGCCUUGGCAGUCAGAGGCGAUGAAAGACGUGGUAGCCUGCGAAAAGCUUCGGGGAGUCGGCAAACAGACUGUGAUCCGGAGGUAUCUGAAUGGGGGAACCCAGCCAUCAUAAGAUGGUUAUCUUGUACUGAAUACAUAGGUGCAAGAGGCGAACCAGGGGAACUGAAACAUCUAAGUACCCUGAGGAAAAGAAAUCAACCGAGAUUCCCUUAGUAGUGGCGAGCGAACGGGGACCAGCCCUUAAGUUGUAUUGAGAUUAGCGGAACACUCUGGAAAGGGUGGCCAUAGUGGGUGAUAGCCCUGUACGCGAAAAUCCCUUUGCAAUGAAAUCGAGUAGGACGGGGCACGAGAAACCUUGUCUGAAUAUGGGGGGACCAUCCUCCAAGGCUAAAUACUACUGACUGACCGAUAGUGAACCAGUACCGUGAGGGAAAGGCGAAAAGAACCGCGGAGAGCGGAGUGAAAUAGAUCCUGAAACCGUAUGCGUACAAGCAGUGGGAGCCCACUUUGUUGGGUGACUGCGUACCUUUUGUAUAAUGGGUCAGCGACUUAUUUUCAGUGGCGAGCUUAACCGAAUAGGGGAGGCGUAGCGAAAGCGAGUCUUAAUAGGGCGUCUAGUCGCUGGGAAUAGACCCGAAACCGGGCGAUCUAUCCAUGGGCAGGUUGAAGGUUGGGUAACACUAACUGGAGGACCGAACCGACUACCGUUGAAAAGUUAGCGGAUGACCUGUGGAUCGGAGUGAAAGGCUAAUCAAGCUCGGAGAUAGCUGGUUCUCCUCGAAAGCUAUUUAGGUAGCGCCUCAUGUAUCACUGUAGGGGGUAGAGCACUGUUUCGGCUAGGGGGUCAUCCCGACUUACCAAACCGAUGCAAACUCCGAAUACCUACAAGUGCCGAGCAUGGGAGACACACGGCGGGUGCUAACGUCCGUCGUGAAAAGGGAAACAACCCAGACCGUCAGCUAAGGUCCCAAAGUCAUGGUUAAGUGGGAAACGAUGUGGGAAGGCUUAGACAGCUAGGAGGUUGGCUUAGAAGCAGCCACCCUUUAAAGAAAGCGUAAUAGCUCACUAGUCGAGUCGGCCUGCGCGGAAGAUGUAACGGGGCUCAAACCAUGCACCGAAGCUACGGGUAUCAUCUUUUGAUGAUGCGGUAGAGGAGCGUUCUGUAAGCCUGUGAAGGUGAGUUGAGAAGCUUGCUGGAGGUAUCAGAAGUGCGAAUGCUGACAUGAGUAACGACAAUGGGUGUGAAAAACACCCACGCCGAAAGACCAAGGUUUCCUGCGCAACGUUAAUCGACGCAGGGUUAGUCGGUCCCUAAGGCGAGGCUGAAAAGCGUAGUCGAUGGAAAACAGGUUAAUAUUCCUGUACUUCUGGUUAUUGCGAUGGAGGGACGGAGAAGGCUAGGCCAGCCUGGCGUUGGUUGUCCAGGUUUAAGGUGGUAGGCUGAGAUCUUAGGUAAAUCCGGGAUCUUAAGGCCGAGAGCUGAUGACGAGUGUUCUUUUAGAACACGAAGUGGUUGAUGCCAUGCUUCCAAGAAAAGCUUCUAAGCUUCAGGUAACCAGGAACCGUACCCCAAACCGACACAGGUGGUUGGGUAGAGAAUACCAAGGCGCUUGAGAGAACUCGGGUGAAGGAACUAGGCAAAAUGGCACCGUAACUUCGGGAGAAGGUGCGCCGGUGAGGGUGAAGCAUUUACUGCGUAAGCUCAUGCCGGUCGAAGAUACCAGGCCGCUGCGACUGUUUAUUAAAAACACAGCACUCUGCAAACACGAAAGUGGACGUAUAGGGUGUGACGCCUGCCCGGUGCCGGAAGGUUAAUUGAUGGGGUUAGCGCAAGCGAAGCUCUUGAUCGAAGCCCCGGUAAACGGCGGCCGUAACUAUAACGGUCCUAAGGUAGCGAAAUUCCUUGUCGGGUAAGUUCCGACCUGCACGAAUGGCGUAACGAUGGCGGCGCUGUCUCCACCCGAGACUCAGUGAAAUUGAAAUCGCUGUGAAGAUGCAGUGUAUCCGCGGCUAGACGGAAAGACCCCGUGAACCUUUACUAUAGCUUUGCACUGGACUUUGAAUUUGCUUGUGUAGGAUAGGUGGGAGGCUUUGAAGCGUGGACGCCAGUCUGCGUGGAGCCAACCUUGAAAUACCACCCUGGCAACUUUGAGGUUCUAACUCAGGUCCGUUAUCCGGAUCGAGGACAGUGUAUGGUGGGUAGUUUGACUGGGGCGGUCUCCUCCUAAAGAGUAACGGAGGAGUACGAAGGUGCGCUCAGACCGGUCGGAAAUCGGUCGUAGAGUAUAAAGGCAAAAGCGCGCUUGACUGCGAGACAGACACGUCGAGCAGGUACGAAAGUAGGUCUUAGUGAUCCGGUGGUUCUGUAUGGAAGGGCCAUCGCUCAACGGAUAAAAGGUACUCCGGGGAUAACAGGCUGAUACCGCCCAAGAGUUCAUAUCGACGGCGGUGUUUGGCACCUCGAUGUCGGCUCAUCACAUCCUGGGGCUGAAGCCGGUCCCAAGGGUAUGGCUGUUCGCCAUUUAAAGUGGUACGCGAGCUGGGUUUAGAACGUCGUGAGACAGUUCGGUCCCUAUCUGCCGUGGACGUUUGAGAUUUGAGAGGGGCUGCUCCUAGUACGAGAGGACCGGAGUGGACGAACCUCUGGUGUUCCGGUUGUCACGCCAGUGGCAUUGCCGGGUAGCUAUGUUCGGAAAAGAUAACCGCUGAAAGCAUCUAAGCGGGAAACUUGCCUCAAGAUGAGAUCUCACUGGAACCUUGAGUUCCCUAAAGGGCCGUCGAAGACUACGACGUUGAUAGGUUGGGUGUGUAAGCGCUGUGAGGCGUUGAGCUAACCAAUACUAAUUGCCCGUGAGGCUUGACCAU
rnacentral:rRNA from 1 species